rnacentral:rRNA from 1 species
ACGGGUGAGUAAUACAUCGGAACGUGCCCAAUCGUGGGGGAUAACGCAGCGAAAGCUGUGCUAAUACCGCAUACGAUCUACGGAUGAAAGCAGGGGACCGCAAGGCCUUGCGCGAGUGGAGCGGCCGAUGGCAGAUUAGGUAGUUGGUGAGGUAAAGGCUCACCAAGCCGUCGAUCUGUAGCUGGUCUGAGAGGACGACCAGCCACACUGGGACUGAGACACGGCCCAGACUCCUACGGGAGGCAGCAGUGGGGAAUUUUGGACAAUGGGCGCAAGCCUGAUCCAGCAAUGCCGCGUGCAGGAUGAAGGCCUUCGGGUUGUAAACUGCUUUUGUACGGAACGAAACGGUUCUCUCUAAUACAGGGGGCUAAUGACGGUACCGUAAGAAUAAGCACCGGCUAACUACGUGCCAGCAGCCGCGGUAAUACGUAGGGUGCGAGCGUUAAUCGGAAUUACUGGGCGUAAAGCGUGCGCAGGCGGUUAUGUAAGACAGUUGUGAAAUCCCCGGGCUCAACCUGGGAAUUGCAUCUGUGACUGCAUAGCUAGAGUACGGUAGAGGGGGAUGGAAUUCCGCGUGUAGCA